rnacentral:lncRNA from 1 species
AAAAAAAAAAAAAAAAAAAAAAAAAAAAAGAUAGGACAGUAAUGUAAAUCUAAUGUUCCAACUAAAAUUGUUUUUAGCAUUAUUGAAUUUGUAUAGCUGUAAUUUAAAAGUGAAUAGUACUAAAAUAGUUGAUAAAUAUUAACUUAAAAUUAAUUUUAUUAAUAUAAUCAUACAGUAUCUUAAAAUUAAUGCAUGCCCCCGUUAUGAGAAUGACUUCCACCUAAUUAACUAACUCGGCACAACAAUAUUUCGAUGAAGUAAAAACUGGAUCAAGCAAGCAAGCGUAGCUAGACAAGUUCACUUUCUAUUAAAUUAAAAUUUUUGUUUUUACUUUGACCCGUAAUUAAUUAAGCACUGGGAGUUAUACUCCAGCUCUUAAUUAAUGAUUGCAGUGGUGACUCACACCUUGAUGGUGCACUACACGUUUCCACUACCUCAGACUCAAACACAACACUUGCAUGUUAACCGAUAAUAUAUAAUAGGCCGGAGAUUGCCAGUAGUUAUAUUCUUGUGUUCGAUUGAGUUAGUUUAGCAAUAUAUACAAAUAUUAUUUGGAUUUAAUAUUGGAGUUACGUACGUAUUACCCUACUCUAUGCCCGUACCAUAUUAAAAUCUUCUAAGGAAAGAAGUCUUAAACAAUUAUGAUUCUUAUAAAGCACACACAUUCAUACACACACUUGUGUGUAUAUAUAUAUAUAUAUAUAAUUUUUCUCUAACUAGUACAUCCUAC